rnacentral:rRNA from 1 species
CCUACGGGCGGCAGCAGUGGGGAAUCUUGCGCAAUGGGCGAAAGCCUGACGCAGCGACGCCGCGUGAGGGAUGAAGGUCUUCGGAUCGUAAACCUCUGUCAGCAGGGAAGAACGGUCACUGUGCUAAUCAGACGUGAAUUGACGGUACCUGCACAGGAAGCACCGGCUAACUCCGUGCCAGCAGCCGCGGUAAUACGGAGGGUGCGAGCGUUGAUCGGAAUUACUGGGCGUAAAGCGCGCGUAGGCGGUAUGUCAAGUCAAGGGUGAAAGCCCCGCGCUCAACGGGGGAACUGCCUUUGAAACUGGCAAACUUGAGUGUGUGAGAGGAUAGUGGAAUUCCAGGUGUAGGAGUGAAAUGCGUAGAUAUCUGGAGGAACAUCAGUGACGAAGGCGACUAUCUGGCACAUAACUGACGCUGAGGAGCGAAAGCGUGGGUAGCAAACAGGAUUAGAUACCCCUGUAGUC